rnacentral:rRNA from 1 species
UACGGAGGAGGCAAGCGUAAUCCGGAAUUAUUGGGCGUAAAGCGUCGGUAGGUGGUUGGCCAAGUCUGCUGUCAAAGGGUGGGGCUUAACCUCAUAAGGGCAGUGGAAACUGGCGGGCUAGAGUGCGGUAGGGGUAGGGGGAAUUCCGAGUGUAGCGGUGAAAUGCGUAGAGAUUGGGAAGAAAAUCGGUGGCGAAAGCGCCCUGCUGGGCCUGCACUGACACUGAGGGACGAAAGCUAGGGGAGCGAAAGGG